GUUUGGUUAGGCAUUGCACAAAAAGGGUAGGCUUUAUAUAAAAAAAAGUUUCACCCUGCAACAUGCUCAUGUGCUUAGGUCAGAUAUUGGUGUGUAUGUAAGUUAUUUGUUAGUCUGUUCAUUUUAUUCACAAAUCUUUUACUUUUUGUGCUGACAUUUUGGAUGAUUUACAAGUUCAUGUAUUGUAUAAACAUCAGUCUAUAGUUGAAGACCUGUAGAUGUCUUUGGUUAUUUAUUUUCAUUGGGUAGCUGCCUUGUUGAUUUAUACCCUACAUCCCCCCUUUUUUCAUAAUGAU
rnacentral:lncRNA from 1 species